rnacentral:rRNA from 1 species
UACGUAGGGUGCAAGCGUUAAUCGGAAUUACUGGGCGUAAAGCGUGCGCAGGCGGUUUUGUAAGUCAGACGUGAAAUCCCCCGGCUUAACCUGGGAACUGCGUCUGAUACUGGGAGGCUCGAGUAUGGGAGAGGGAUGUAGAAUUCCAGGUGUAGCGGUGAAAUGCGUAGAUAUCUGGAGGAAUACCGGUGGCGAAGGCGGCAUCCUGGACCAUUACUGACGCUGAGGCGCGAAAGCUAGGGGAGCAAACGGG